AUUGAACGCUGGCAGCAGGCCUAACACAUGCAAGUCGAGCGGAUGAAGGGAGCUUGCUCCUGGAUUCAGCGGCGGACGGGUGAGUAAUGCCUAGGAAUCUGCCUGGUAGUGGGGGAUAACGUCCGGAAACGGGCGCUAAUACCGCAUACGUCCUGAGGGAGAAAGUGGGGGAUCUUCGGACCUCACGCUAUCAGAUGAGCCUAGGUCGGAUUAGCUAGUUGGUGGGGUAAAGGCCUACCAAGGCGACGAUCCGUAACUGGUCUGUGAGGAUGAUCAGUCACACUGGAACUGAGACACGGUCCAGACUCCUACGGGAGGCAGCAGUGUGGAAUAUUGGACAAUGGGCGAAAGCCUGAUCCAGCCAUGCCGCGUGUGUGAAGAAGGUCUUCGGAUUGUAAAGCACUUUAAGUUGGGAGGAAGGGCAGUAAGUUAAUACCUUGCUGUUUUGACGUUACCAACAGAAUAAGCACCGGCUAACUUCGUG
rnacentral:rRNA from 1 species